rfam:Salmo salar isolate Sally breed double haploid chromosome ssa01, whole genome shotgun sequence.
UGAAUGCACUACAUGUAAGUCGCUCUGGAUAAGAGUGUCUGCUAAAUGACUGAAA